CCAUUUAAUAUCAGAAAGUUAAAUAAAAUGUAUGUCUUUUAAUUUCAAUCAUAUAUCAUCAAAGUCUAUGAUAUUUUCAACAGAAGCAGGAUCAUAUCUUUAAUUAAAAUUACUGAAAGAAUUCACAUCAGCAAAUGAUGAAGUUUAGAAAUAUUCUAAAUCUCUGUUAAAUUCUGAAAAAACAUUUGCUUGCACAAACUUGGGUACUGACUCCUCCCUCCCUUUUUCCUGUUGGUACACACCGGUAAAGUUAUAUGUGUGGACCAUAAAUGAAGCCUCUCAACAGCCAGACAAGAGCUGGGAUAGGGAUUUUUUGAGUGAUAUAUCCACGUCAUCCAACUUCAGACUCUGAUCCUCAUUUGAAAGUCAACUUUUUUUACACACAUACAUGCAUGAUCUAUGAUGGCAACUCUUGCGUAUUUAGAGAUGUCUCAAAAUGCAGUGCAUGACAAAAAUGUAUAUUUCACCUUACAUCAUUCACAUUUAUACACAGUGUGUUUGUACUUGCUAUCGUGAGUCAACAAGCAUAUCUGGAGUGGUAUAUGAGUACUAUAGUACUCAUUUUUGACAGGGAGAUUCCUCUUUUUUUUAUAUUAUAUGAAGCUGCUUAGCUGUAUUUGCUCAGUAUACGUAAUUCCUCUCUGGUAGCCUUUAAAUAAAUGAAAAAGGAAUUCAUGACACCUGUAUUUUAUUUUCCAGUUGCUCACAGGGUGCAUCCUUGGACAAGUCACUUAGAUGCCGAUCCUGAAAGGUUUUCAAGGCUUCCAUUAAUUCCAAAGACAUCUUUAAAGGGU
rnacentral:lncRNA from 1 species